rnacentral:misc_RNA from 1 species
UCACCCCUCAAGCCCCGUGCUUGGUGUUGGACGGAUUUUGGUCGGGAAACCCUCCCGACCCCGCCUAAAGACAAUGACGGCGGCCUGUGGCUCCCCCGGCACACUGAGCUUCUUCACGGACAGCACGUGCCGGACGCGGGCGCCCAGGUCCCGGGCCUUCUUCCUUUUCUUCUCAA